rnacentral:misc_RNA from 1 species
GAUGAAGAACGCAGCGAAAUGCGAAAAGUAAUGUGAAUUGCAGAAUUCAGUGAAUCAUCGAAUGUUUGAACGCACAUUGCGCCCGCUGGUACUCCGGCGGGCACGCCUGUCCGAGCGUCAUUUCAACCCUCAAGCCCUCCUUCGGGAUGGGCCUGGUGUUGGGGCUCGGCCGCCAUCUCCGGCGGCCGUCCCCUAAAUACAGUGGCGGUCACGUCGCGACUCCUUUGCGUAGUAGAAACACCUCGCUCCGGAUAGCAACGCGGUCCACGCCGUAAAAUCCCCAAUUUUCAAUGGUUGACCUCGGAUCAGGUGGGAAUACCCGCUGAACUUAAGCAUAUCAAUAAGCGGAGGA